UACGUAGGGCGCAAGCGUUGUCCGGAAUUAUUGGGCGUAAAGAGCUCGUAGGCGGUCUGUCGCGUCUGCUGUGAAAACUCAGGGCUUAACCCUGAGCUUGCAGUGGGUACGGGCAGACUAGAGUGAUGUAGGGGAGACUGGAAUUCCUGGUGUAGCGGUGAAAUGCGCAGAUAUCAGGAGGAACACCAAUGGCGAAGGCAGCUCGCUGGGACGGUACUGACGCUGAGGCGCGAAAGCGUGGGGAGCAAACAGG
rnacentral:rRNA from 1 species